rnacentral:rRNA from 1 species
CAGUCGCCACGGUAAUACGGGGGGUGCGAGCGUUAAUCGGAUUUACUGGGCGUAAAGCGUGCGUAGGCGGCUUCUUAAGUCGGAUGUGAAAUCCCUGAGCUUAACUUAGGAAUUGCAUUCGAUACUGGGAAGCUAGAGUAUGGGAGAGGAUGGUAGAAUUCCAGGUGUAGCGGUGAAAUGCGUAGAGAUCUGGAGGAAUACCGAUGGCGAAGGCAGCCAUCUGGCCUAAUACUGACGCUGAGGUACGAAAGCAUGGGGAGCAAACAGGAUUAGAUACCCCGGUAGUCCCUGUCUCUUAUAU